rnacentral:rRNA from 1 species
AUUGAACGCUGUCGGUAUGCUUCACACAUGCAAGUCGAACGGUAACAGGCCUUCGGGCGCUGACGAGUGGCCGACGGGAGAGUAACGCGUAGGAAUCUGCCUCAUAGUGGGGGACAACGUGGGGAAACUCACGCUAAUACCGCAUACGCCCUACGGGAGAAAGCGGGGUAUCUUCGCACCUCGCGCUAUUAGAUGAGCCUGCGUUAGAUUAGCUAGUUGGUAGGGGAAAGGCAUACCAAGGCGACGAUCUAUAGCUGGUCUGAGAGGACGAUCAGCCACGCUGGGAGUGAGAAACGGCCCGGACUCCUACGGGAGGCAGCAGUGGGGAAUAUUGGACAAUGGGCGCAAGCCUGAUCCAGCAAUACCGCGUGUGUGAAGAAGGCCCUAGGGUUGUAAAGCACUUUCAAUUGGGAGGAAAACCUGCCGGUCAAUACCCGGCAGCUUGACAUUACCUUUAGAAGAAGCACCGGCUAACUCCGUGCCAGCAGCCGCAGUAACAC